rnacentral:rRNA from 1 species
UACAGAGGUCUCAAGCGUUGUUCGGAUUCAUUGGGCGUAAAGGGGUGCGUAGGCGGCGCGGUAAGUCGGGUGUGAAAUCUCGGGGCUUAACUCCGAAACUGCAUUCGAUACUGCCGUGCUUGAGGACUGGAGAGGAGACUGGAAUUUACGGUGUAGCGGUGAAAUGCGUAGAUAUCGAUAAGGAAGACCAGUGGCGAAGGCGGGUCUCUGGACAGUUCCUGACGCUGAGGCACGAAGGUCAGGGGAGCAAACGGG